AUUGAACGCUGGCGGCAGGCCUAACACAUGCAAGUCGAGCGGAUGAAGGGAGCUUGCUCCUGGAUUCAGCGGCGGACGGGUGAGUAAUGCCUAGGAAUCUGCCUGGUAGUGGGGGAUAACGUCCGGAAACGGGCGCUAAUACCGCAUACGUCCUGAGGGAGAAAGUGGGGGAUCUUCGGACCUCACGCUAUCAGAUGAGCCUAGGUCGGUUUAGCUAGUUGGUGGGGUAAAGGCCUACCAAGGCGACUAUCCGUAACUGGUCUGAGAGGAUGAUCAGUCACACUGGAACUGAGACACGGUCCAGACUCCUACGGGAGGCAGCAGUGGGGAAUAUUGGACAAUGGGCGAAAGCCUGAUCCAGCCAUGCCGCGUGUGUGAAGAAGGUCUUCGGAUUGUAAAGCACUUUAAGUUGGGAGGAAGGGCAGUAAGUUAAUACCUUGCUGUUUUGACGUUACCAACAGAAUAAGCACCGGCUAACUUCGUG
rnacentral:rRNA from 1 species